ensembl:lncRNA
GAAAGAAGAGAAAGGGAGCAGGUUCAGAGGUUAUAAUGUCAAAGUUCAAAUAUUAUUGUCAAUUGACUCCAGUCUUGGCAGUGUUUGGCCUGGCGCUGUACUGAGCUACGCUGUUUGAGGCGUUGCUUGGCCCCUGAGACAGCAUCAGUCUCAAAGCCCAGAUCUAAGAGCUGGUGUUCUCAACACGGCGCAGGUAACAAUGAGGUGAGUUUAGUCACAUGCACAGGGUCGCAGAUGUAAAUGCAGGGUACAGUGAAAUUCUUAAGCUCCGAGCAGUGCAGGUCAAACAGAAGUGAAUGAAACAAGAAUACAAAUACAGCACCAGUCAAAAGUUUAGAAACUUACUCAUUCAAGUUUUUUUUUUUUUUACAUUGUAGAAAAAUAGUGAAGACAAACUAUGAAAUAACACAUAUGGAAUCAUGUAGUAACCAGAAAAACAAAUCAAAAUACAUUUUAUAUUGUUCAAAGUAGCUACCCUUUGCACACUCUUGGCACUCUCAACCAGCUUCACGAGGUAGUCACCUGGAAUGCAUUUCAAUUAACACAUGCGCCUUGUUAAAAGUUAAUUUGUGGAAUUUCUUUCCUCAAUGCGUUUGAGCCAAUUAGUUGUGUUGUGACGAGGUAGGGGUGGUAUACAGAAGAUGUCCAUUUACCAAAUAUGGCGAAGUCCAAAUUAUGGCAAGAACAGCUCAAAUAAGCAAAGAGAAACGACAGUCCAUCAUUUCUUUAAGACAUGAACAUUUCAAUAACUUUUUGCAGCCGCAAAAACCAUCAAGAGCUUUGAUGAAACUUGCUCUCAUGAGGACAGCCACAGGAAAGGAAGACCCAGAGUUACCUUUGUUGCAGGAGGACAUGUUCUUUCGGGUUACCAGCCUCAGAAAUUGCAGCCCAAAUAAAUGCAAGUAACAGACAACUUCAACUGUUCAGAGGAGACUGUGUGAAAUCAGGCCUUCAUGGUUGAAUUGCUGCAAAGAAACCACUACUAAAAGGACCCCAAUAAUAAGAAGAGACUUGCUCGGGACAAGAAACACGAACAAUGGACAUUAGGCCGGUGAAAAUCUGUCCUUUGGUCUGAUGAAUCCAAAUUUGAGAUUUUUGGUUCCAACCACUGUCUUUGUAAUAUACAGAGUAGAACGGAUGAUCUCAGCAUGUGUGGUUCCCACCAUGAAGCAUGGAGGAGGUGUGAUGGUGCUUUGCUGGUGACAC